rnacentral:rRNA from 1 species
GCGACCCCAGGACGGGCGAGGCCACCCGCCGAGUUUAAGCAUAUCAAUAAGCGNAGGAGAAG